rnacentral:lncRNA from 1 species
ACCCUCCUGCCUUGCUCCAGGACUGUCGGGGUGGGGGUGGGGGGCCCGCCUGGGAGGGAGAGGGGGUUCUCCAGCACCAGGCACUGCUUCCCAAUUGGGAGCUUCAAGAACAUGUCCCUACAAGCAGAAGGGGGACUUGUCACAGAGUCCCUCACCCCUGUGGGCCUCACUAGCCAUCCUUGGGAGGGCCAGGAUCCCCAAGCUCUCAAAUGUUUUUUUUUUCUUUCGAGACAGGGUCUUACUAUAUAGCCCAGUCAGUCCUAAAACUUGUGGAGGCCCUCCUGCCUCAGGCUCCAGAGUGCUGGGAUUACAGAUGUGCGCCACCACACCUAGCUUCAAUGUCUUUAGCACUCCCAAAUGGCCACUCACUCUAACACUGCGUUCUUCAAGACCUUUUAUUGACUAUCCCAGAGGCAAAGGAACAACCCCAUCUUCACAGGUCCCGGGAGGAGUCUGUCUGACCCCCACCUUUUCCUGGGUGCAGAUUCUAGAAUUGUCCUGGGUACAGCAGAAAUGUACACAUGUUCACCAGAAUACAAGACCAACCUGUACACAGCACAGGAUUUUGGAGUGAUGAAGAGAUGGUCAUGUAAUGGACUACUCUACAGCCAGGAAAAGGGAUGAAGCACUCACAGAUACACCAAUAGAAGUGAAUUUUUCAGACAUCAUGUGGAGUAAAAAAAAAAAAAGCAGACACAAAAGAGAACAUACUUGGUAAGUAUAUUUAAAUGAAAUAUAUGUUGAGUGUGGGUGUGCACGCCUGUGAUCCCAGCACUCUGGCAGGCUGAGGCAGGAGGAUCUCAAGUUGGAGCCUAGCCUGGGCAAUGUAGUGACUUAGCGAGACCAGGGCUGGAGCUCUGUGCAAAGGCCUUGGGUUCUAUUCCCAGAAUCACAAAAAGAUAAAAAUGAAAACCAAGACUGUUCCCACUCCCGCCUGGCCCUUGGCUCUCCUACCUGUGUCUACCAGGAGCUGCGUCCUGUUCCCCUCAGCCUUCUCCAGCUCAGGAAUCUCCGAAGUCACCUGGCACACAUAGGCUCCACUGUCAUUGAGGGUCAGCUGGUCCAGCUUCAGGGUGAUGUCCUCAGGCGCCCUCCAGGACAGCUGAGCCCUGGGCCCACACAUGCCAGGGCUGGGGGUGCCUUUGGUAAGGAGCAGCUGACAUAUGACAUCACCAUCCUUGGUCCACUCCACACGGAGCCGCUCCCAGGACUGUGCCCGAGUCACUUGGCAGGCCAGGGUGGCCUGACCGCCCUGAGUCACCCUCAGGGACAUGGGCCACUGCUUCACACUCAGGCUUGUGGUUCCCUGCAGGGCUGGGGGAAAGAUGAGGCUGGUGAGCACUUUCCAGUGAGUGUGCAAGGCUCAACACCUCUCUGAGCCUGCGGGAUGGGCUUGGAACCCACUGUCCCUGUGCCCUUGGGUGGGGUUGAUCCUCUUUCUGGUGCUCAGUGGUUCAGUCUAUGAAAUGGGCACAACUCAGCUGUGAGAGUUCAAGCAGGACUCUUGGACGUGUCCAGCGCUCAAGCCUACAACUAACAUCCAGCCUGUGCCCGGUCCUUAGCUGAGUGUGGGGGACACAGCGGUGAUCAAGAGGGACAAAAGAGAAACGCAUAGUGGUGCAGGCCUGUGAUCCCAGCACUCAGGAGGCUGAGGCAGGAGGAUCCCUGUGAGUUUGAGGCCAGCCUGGGCUACACAGAGAGACCUUGUCUCAAAAAACAAAAACCAAAAAGGCUCUAGGGUCAGAUGGAGGCCGGAGAGUUGCAGAAGCAGAGAGGGGGAUUUGGGACUGAAGCAGAGGGAGUUCAGGCAGAGAGGGAGGAGGGGAAGGUGACAGUUUACUGGAAACCAAGGGAGCAGAGGAAACAGAGUCCAGUCUGAGGUGUGCUUCUCCCUUUGCAGUAUGGGGCAGACCCCAGGCCCUGUGCAUGUGAGGUGAGCGGACUCCACUGAGCAGCACCAGGCCGGACUCCAGUUUACUAAAAGCACCCUGCAGGCCACGGUGGGGACCAGCUAUGAGGUGAGAACUCAGAGCAGGAGCAGGAGGAGCAGAGGACCUGGAUAUGACUGGACUGGUGGCAGCCAUCACAAGGGAGCCUGGGGGAGAAGCUGCUUCUGGCCAUGAUGGGCCUGAGCUGCCUGGUGGACCCUGCAGAAGGCACAUUCCUGGCUCCUGAGAUGCAGCUGGGCAGCGGCUGGGGAGACCAGAGCCAGAAGGAAAACCAGGUAGCCAAAUAGCUGCACACAGGCCUGGAGGGCUCAGGAACCUGAUGGGGGGCGGGGGGGCGAGCAGAUCUAGCUGAGGAGGGCAUGGGCACACACCUGUCAUGCCAGCACUGCUGGAGGCUGAGGCAGGAGGGUUGCAAGUUUGAGUCAAGCCUGGGCAACUGAGUGGCUUAAAGAGACCCUGCCUCAAACAUUAAAAACAAUUUGUUAGAAAAGGGCUGGGGAUGUAGGUUAAUGUGAAGGCCCUGGGUUCAAUCCCCAGUAAGUGGAGGGAGAAAGGGGGGGGGGAGAAGGAGGAGAAAAAGAAGAAGGG